rnacentral:rRNA from 1 species
UACGUAGGCAGCGAGCGUUGUUCGGAGUUACUGGGCGUAAAGAGUGCGUAGGCGGUUUUCUAAGUUUGGUGUGAAAUCUCCCGGCUCAACUAGGAGGGUGCGCCGAAGACUGGAAGGCUUGAGUAUGGGAGAGGUAAGCGGAAUUCCUGGUGUAGCGGUGAAAUGCGUAGAUAUCAGGAGGAACACCUGCGGUGUAGACGGCUUACUGGACCAUAACUGACGCUGAGGCACGAAAGCGUGGGUAGCAAACAGG